AAUGAACGCUGGCGGCGCGCCUAAUACAUGCAAGUCGAGCGAGAAGACGUAGCAAUACGUUUGUAAAGCGGCGAACGGGUGAGGAAUACAUGGGUAACCUACCCUAGAGUGGGGAAUAACUAGCCGAAAGGUUAGCUAAUACCGCGUACGCUCCUUGGACUUCGGUUCAGGGAGGAAAGCGAUACCGAGGGUAUCGCGCUCUUGGAUGGGCUCAUGUCCUAUCAGCUUGUUGGUGAGGUAACGGCUCACCAAGGCUUCGACGGGUAGCUGGUCUGAGAGGACGAUCAGCCACACUGGCACUGCGACACGGGCCAGACUCCUACGGGAGGCAGCAGUAAGGAAUAUUGCGCAAUGGGCGAAAGCCUGACGCAGCGACGCCGCGUGGGGGAUGAAGGUCUUCGGAUUGUAACCCCUUUCGGGAGGGAAGAUGGAACGAGCAAUCGUUCGGACGGUACCCAGAAGCAGCCACGGCUAACUUCGUGCCA
rnacentral:rRNA from 1 species